ACUGUUACAGAGCGUGAAGCUAUGCGGAACUUCGUUUCGUGUAGUUGACCCUCCACCCGUGUCGAUUA
rnacentral:rRNA from 1 species